rnacentral:pre_miRNA from 1 species
GAUCUGCUCCCUCCGUCCCAAAAUUCUUGUCUUAGAUUUGUCUAGAUACGGAUGUACCUAAUACUAAAACGUGACUUGAUACAUCCGUAUUUAGACAAAUCUAAGACAAGAAUUUUGGGACGGAGGGAGUACUAC